rnacentral:rRNA from 1 species
UGUCACGGCCAUACCACCCUGAAUGUGCCCAUCUCGUCUGAUCUCAGAAGCUAAGCAGGGUCGGGCCUGGUUAGUACUUGGAUGGGAGAAAACUAUACUGUAUGGUUGUGAUGG